AGUCCAAUGCCUGAUGAAAAGGGUCAUCUUGAUAGGGUGGAUAAUGCGAUCUUCGCUUGGACUA
rnacentral:tRNA from 1 species